rnacentral:tRNA from 2 species
GCCCGGGUGGUGAAAUUGGUAGACACCGCAGACUUAAAAUCUGCUGCUUAGCGUCAAGCGGCGUACCGGUUCGAUUCCGGUCCCGGGCACCA